UAUAUAUAUAUGUGAAGCAAUUAGGUUUUAGACAUAUCCUGCCUCCCCUCUUUAUAUCUUAUCUCUUUCUUCUACCUUGGAAUCAACUUCUUUCUCUAUUUUCUCCAUUAAAUUUUUGGUGGUUCAAAGUGAUUUCUUCAAUGAAUUUACAAUAGCUCGUUGAUUCCCCUGAAGAUAAAUCAAUCUUAUACAAUUGAACAAAGGAUAUGGACAGCAGCAGAUUACAAAGGAUAGAGAAAUGAAGAGUUCAAAGGAAGGAACCGCAAGUUUUAUUUUUAUGUUUUUUUAAUUUUGUAAAACGGUUAUAUAUUACCCAAAUCUGUAUAUAUACAUUGUAACAUGGAGUUUUAUUGCUUCAAUUCAAUAAAAUUGUAUACUCUGUUUCAUA